rnacentral:rRNA from 1 species
UACGUAGGGGGCAAGCGUUGUCCGGAUUCAUUGGGCGUAAAGAGCGUGUAGGCGGCCAGGUAGGUCGGUUGUGAAAACUGGAGGCUCAACCUUCAGAGGUCGACCGAAACCAUCUGGCUAGAGUCCGGGAGAGGAGAGUGGAAUUCAUGGUGUAGCGGUGAAAUGCGCAGAGAUCGGGAGGAACACCUGUGGCGAAGGCGGCCGACUGGGCCGACCCUGACGCUGAGGCGCGAAGGUGUGGGGAGCGAACGGG